UACGGAGGGAGCUAGCGUUGUUCGGAAUUACUGGGCGUAAAGCGCACGUAGGCGGCUUUGUAAGUUAGAGGUGAAAGCCCGGGGCUCAACCCCGGAAUUGCCUUUAAGACUGCAUCGCUUGAAUCCGGAGAGGUGAGUGGAAUUCCGAGUGUAGAGGUGAAAUUCGUAGAUAUUCGGAAGAACACCAGUGGCGAAGGCGGCUCACUGGACCGGUAUUGACGCUGGAGGU
rnacentral:rRNA from 1 species